AUACUUACCUGGCAGGGAAGAUACCAUGGUCAAGAUGGUGGUUCUUCUUGACUGAGGCUUAGCCAUUGCACUCCAGGCUUUGCUGAAGUUGACGAAUUCCCCAAAUGUGGGAAUCUCGACUGCGUAAUUUCUGGUAGUGGGGGACUGCGUUCGCGCUCUCCCCUG